UGUCUCGACUUCGAUCCGACUGGAGGAUGUGGGCUAUUCCUGGAGCCCGGUGGUUGUGUCGAAGACAGAAUGCUGACAUUGGAAGGUGCUUUCUGGCUGCUGUUGGCUUUCAGCUAUUGGAAAAGGUUCCCCGGGCGAUGCGAUUCAGCCGAGGACUAAAUAAAAGCCUGUUUUUUGGAGUGUACCGAUAUAACAUGGACAGAAAUUUAUUUUUAAAAUCUGCAAGAUGUUGAGGCUGUCGUGAUAUAUUAUAUUCUCGUGGAAACUUUUCAUGCGCAAAGGUUCCGGCGUUCCAUGGCUGAGACUUUCGGAGCAGUGCCGCUCCCGGAGGC